rnacentral:rRNA from 1 species
GCUUGUCUCAAAGAUUAAGCCAUGCAUGUCUAAGUAUAAGCCUUUAUAUGGUGAGACUGCGAAUGGCUCAUUAAAUCAGAAACUGUUUAUUUGAUAGUGCCUACUACAUGGAUACCUGUAGUAAUUCUAGAGCUAAUACAUGCAAAAAGCCUGGACUUCUGGAACAGGCGUAUUUAUUAGAUAUACAAACCAACCGCUUCGGCGACCCUUGGUGACUCAUAAUAACUUCGCGAAUCGUUUUCGGACGAUGAUUCAUUCAAAUUUCUGCCCUAUCAUGGUUGAGAUUGUAAGAUAGAGGCUUACAAUGCCUACAACGGGUAACGGGGAAUUAGGGUUCGAUUCCGGAGAGGGAGCCUGAGAAACGGCUACCACAUCCAAGGAAGGCAGCAGG